rnacentral:rRNA from 1 species
GCAAGUCGAACGGCACCCCUCUCCGGAGGGAAGCGAGUGGCGAACGGCUGAGUAACACGUGGAGAACCUGCCCCCUCCCCCGGGAUAGCCGCCCGAAAGGACGGGUAAUACCGGAUACCCCCGGGCGCCGCAUGGCGCCCGGGCUAAAGCCCCGACGGGAGGGGAUGGCUCCGCGGCCCAUCAGGUAGACGGCGGGGUGACGGCCCACCGUGCCGACAACGGGUAGCCGGGUUGAGAGACCGACCGGCCAGAUUGGGACUGAGACACGGCCCAGACUCCUACGGGAGGCAGCAUG